ACAACAACAAACCCAAAACCCUCAAAGGCAGACUCGCCUGAUGGCUAGAUUUUUGGGGCAUACUUUAAAACAGUGAACAAACCCCUUUGAUGCUGCUGAAGUUGCUGAACGUGGUUAUUAUCAUAUAAUAUUCUCAAAUGACUAUCAAAUCAGAACAGAAAGCAAGGAUAAGAUGAGAAACUCAUAUUUGUCUAACAUCUGCAGUUCCAAGGGGAAGACAAUGGGACUUGCCUCUUGGAUAAAACUUGGUCUUCAAGCCCUGAUCAUGACCUUCAGCAUCCAGGCUGCAGAGUAUCUCAGAGAGUUUUGCCUGGUUUGUUUACACUGUGGAAAUGUGCAGCAGGAAGCAGGCUGUGGACUGGCCUCAUACCUCACAUCCUCACUGUCUCCUCCAUGCUGGCUGCCAAUGGACAGAGGAAGUAUGGGUGGCCUGCCUGAAGUCAGAGAGACACUGAAGGACUGGUGGGCCCUGAGCUACUGAGAAGCUUUGGGGGAAAUUUUGGCCUUAAUAGUUUUUCCUGGGUCUAUUAUGGACUUCCAUUUGAAGUACAUGAAGAGAACAAGAAACUAUGCCAAAAACAGUUUUAAAAAGGAAAGGUAGACUUAGAAGCCUCCAUGUUUAAUGCAAAUGGUUUAUCUGGAAGCCUCUAGAAGCCCCCUCCCCCCCACAGUAUGAAAAGAAGCAGGGGAAGGCCCACUCCCUGUGUUUAUAAGAUUCUGAGGUGAGCCUGCUUUCUCAGUUUUUCCAUGGUUGUCUCCGUCUGACAGAGAUCACACAUCUUACCUUACAGUGCCUAUUAACAGAAAAAUAUGGCCACACCCAUCCCCCUUCCACCCCACCCCGUUACUCAAUACCAUCCCCAGACAAUCAAACUGGCCUUCUCUUUGAUCACCCACAGCAGGAGGUGGGCUGGCAGGAGACCCCCAGCUUUGGGAGGUCAGAGGAGCCAGGCUGCAGAAGGGGAAACACCAAAGGACAUUGGACUCAUGUCUACAGACUCACAGGCACCUUGCCUGCCCCAGCCAGACACAGCUAUUACUAGAACAAGUGGGCUAAACUCAGAACGCUACCAACUGCAAUUAAGGAUGUUUACUUGACUUGCAGCCUCUCUUACACUCAUUAUUUUAUUUCUUCUCUUACAUUCUGGGAGUUUAACCCAGGACAUAGAACAUUCUAGGACAAUGCUCUAUUGCUGAUACCUCCAUUGCUACCCUCAGCUAAUUGUUUUAUUAUUGAUUCUAUUGCCUUAACAGCAGUGAGCAGGCUUCUGACUUAGCAUGACCUCCCUUCCUAGAGAGAAAUGCUCUUAGGGCUGAAUGACUACGUAAUUCUAAGGGACGGUCAAUUUACAACAAAAACAAGCAUUUGAAAGCCAGUUGCAACAUCUUUUGUCACAUGUUUGUCUUGCCGCCCACUGAUGUCAAUACCAAAAAUUUUACGAGUGAGCCAGUUAAUACACAAACAUGGUGGCUUUCUUAUAUCAUAGGCAACUUGAGAAUGCCCUCUGAACAUUCAUUUGUUAGAAAAUUACCUAACUGCAAGCCACUGUAGAGGGUGGACUUGCGGGGUCAGGGCUCUGCUUGUCUUGUUUAUGCCAAGCACUUAGCACACAUUCGGCACAGAAAGUAGGGGAGACUCUAAGCCCAAUGUGGCUUGCCCUCUGCGACCUGUUAGGGUCAAGGAUAGAAACUUCAGAAU
rnacentral:sRNA from 1 species